AUGGAUCAGCCCAAAUUUAGGGUCAAGAUCAGGGUAGGGAAUGUGGUUAGGGUUAGGACGAGGGUAAUGGCCUGGUCCUCCCCAUGGAGGCCCAGGAAAUGCACGGUCCUUCCCCCUGGUCCCUCUUCCUCCCCGGUCCCCAGAAGAGCCGUCCCGGUUUUGCGGUUGGGGUCGCUGGUGAAGGGUCUGGUCACGGAAGCGACCCCGUCUUCCGUAACGGACCUGCUGCCAUUCCCCCUCGUUGGCAGUGGAAAACAUAACAAUAAUAAAAAAAGUGAAAAAAAGUUUUUGUGGUUAGGGUUAGGGUUAGGGUUAGGGUUAGGGUUAGGGUUAGGGGUUAGGACGAGGGUAAUGGCCUGGUCCUCCCCAUGGAGGCCCAGGAAAUGCACGGUCCUUCCCCUGGUCCCUCUUCCUCCCCGGUCCCCAGAAGAGCAGUCCCGGUUUUGCGGUUGGGGUCGCUGGUGAAGGGUCUGGUCACGGAAGCGACCCCGUCUGCCGUAACGGACCUGCUGCCAUUCCCCCUCGUUGGCAGUGGAAAACAUAACAAUAAUAAAAAAGUGAAAAAAGUUUUUUUGUAUCUUUUAUUUUUCAAUGUUUCUAUCUCUUUAAUAAUCAAAGAGACCUUACCAAAUAAGGUUUUAAUAAAUAAAAGGAAGCUUAACCCCUUAAUAAAAUACAAGAAUAAAAAAAUAAAAAAAUAAAAAAAACAAAAAAACGAAAAAAAACUCCCUGUUAAUCAACGAAAAAAAGUGCCCCUGUGCGACGUUUCGACACUUCCGUGUCUUCUUCAGGCUGGGCACUUCAGCAAAUGGUAGACAAAAGUCUAAUCAAUCAAAAAAAGUAGCUCAAACAAAGUAAUAACAGCUAACAAGCUAGUAGCAGCUAACGAGCUCACCCUCUGUGUGUUGCCUCUGCUGUUGCUCCGCUCCAAGUGAGCAGGCUGCAGCGUGCGCUGCUAUUAACACCCUCCCCUGUAUGGAGUAAAUUGGUGUCACCCAGUUUUUUAGUUUGACCAAUACCAAAUGUAAAAUAAAAUCCCUUUAACCCCAUAAAUGCCAAUAGGUUUUUAAUGAAAGCAUUUAAUUCAAUGAAUAAAAUCAAUUGUUUUAAACUCUUUAAUAAAUAAAAACUACUUAAACAAUUUUAUUUUAAUUGUUAAACAUAUGAAUUACUACUUUGAUAAAUUUUAACCCUUAAGUAAUUAAUUUUAAAACCCUAAAACUAAUGAAAUAAUUAUGACUUAUAAAAAAUUGUUUUAUCCAAAUGUUUAUCUUCUAAUCUCUAAAUCUUAAAUCUACAAAUUGUUUAACUACAAAAUAUGUAAUUAAAUUAAAUGUUCUAACUCUCCAAUAAAAUAAAUCAAUUUUUUUAUUCCAAUUAUUUUACAUAGAAAUUAGUACUGUAAUAAAUUAUAACUCUUAAUAAAUAAUUUUAAACCCUAAAAAUAUGAAAAUUUUAACUUUUUAAUUGUAAAUGUAAUAUAUCAAUUGUCCAAAUUUUUCAUUUUUUUUAUUUUUAACAGAUGUAAUUUGCAUAACAACAAAAUUACUAAAUUAGGGUUAGAUUUAGAUAAAAUUAAGUAGUUAGGGUUAGGGUUAGGAUUAGGGGUUAGGGUUAGGGCUAAAAUAUGGAUAGGGCUAAGAACAAGCCACAUAUAAUGGUUAGGUUUAGGGUUAAGUUUAGGUAGGGGUUAAGAGGUUAGGUUUAGGUCAAUUCAGGUUAGGGUUAGGGUUAGAAUUUAGACAGGGAUAGGGCUAUAAAAGAGCAACAGACCAUGGUUAGGUUUAGGCAUCCAACAGAAAACAAUGGUUGGGUUUAGGCAUCCAACAAAAAACAAUAGUUAGGUUUAGGCAUCCAACAGAAAACAAUGGUUGGGUUUAGGCAUCAAACCAAAGACAAUGGUUGGGUUUAGGCAUCCCACAAAAAACAAUGGUUUAGGUUUAGGCAUAAAACAAAAGAAUGGUUGGGUUUAGGCAUUCAAGAAAAUAAAACUUAGGUUUAGGCACCCACACUAAGUAUUGACAAAGUUUAAAACAAGUGUUAGAACUUAACAUUGAGUCCAUUUGGCUCUUUCGUGCCUAGCCAAUGAAUCCAUUGUCUUUCUUUAGCCCUUCUUUCUUUUGUUGUCCAGGUAAUAUUGCUCUGAAUACCUGCUAUUCUGAGUGCUUGAAAUCCAUGCAAAAUAAAAUGUCUUACCAGGGGAGUCUGAAUUUCUUUCUUGUUAACAAUAUUAUACUUGUGUUGCCACAUUCUCAUCCGAAUAGAAUUCCUUGUUUCCCCAACAUAUUUUUUAUCACAUUUUGUACAGAAAAUAUAAUAAAUCACAUUAGUUGUUUGUGGCAAAAAGUCUUGUGUUAACUUAAAAAUCCUUUUGUCAACGGAAUUUUUUACAUAUUUCAAUGAACAAAAAUUCUCCAUAUGUCUGUGGGACUGCUGUAAAGGCCUAAGUUUAGCCCUGACUAAGAGAUCUUUCAAAUUAUUGUUUUUCUUGUAAGCUGAGAUGAUGUCAAAAUCAUUCAAGAGCUCAGUCUGUCCCAAAACCAAAUCAAAAUUUUUCUUCAAUCUGAAAUUAAGUUCUCUGCUAAUCGAAGAAAACUGAGUAAUCAAAGGUAUCAUCCUUCUCGGAUGUAUCAAUUUUCGUUCCUUAAAUGAUCCUAAGCAUCGACGAAGGAACGAUCUGGAAUAGCCUCUUUUCCUUAAGGCUCGAAACAAUAUUUUAACAGCUUCCCAAAAAUCGUCCGACUUAGUACAAAUUCUAAAAAAACGUAAAAGCUGCGACUUCACAAGUCCCUUAAACGUAUGUUGGGGAUGAAAGCUGGACUUAAAUAAAAGAGCGUGAGUAUCAGUUUUCUUGAAAAACACUUUAACAUCCAGCUUCCCAUUCAAAGCAAAAUUCGAACCCUUAUAAACUGUAGUGUCCAAGAAGUCAAUUGAGAACUGAUUGACCUCAUGUUUUAACGUAAUCGAGGGGUCAUGGGUGUUCAGAAUUUGCAUAAACUGAUUGAAGUCCUCUAAAGAGUCCCCCCAUACCCCCCAUAUGUCAUCCAAAUAUCUGACAUAAUGGAGUGGUUUUUUCGGGCACUUUGCUAAUGCCCCCUCUUCCCAAUUUGCCAUAAAAAUGUUAGCAUACGCGGCGCAAAUCUCUUUCCCAUUGCUGUCCCUUUUACUUGCAAAUAAAAUUCCUCGUUGAAAACAAAAUCAUUCCUAGUUAAAUUAAUUUUAAGCAACUUCAACACUUCCUCAUCCGGCCUAUCCUCCUUCGGAUAUUCCAAGAAAACUUUUUUAACUGUUUCUAACCCUGCUUCAAUGGGUAUAUUAGUAUACAAACUAUCUACAUCUAGACUGAAGAACAAGGCAUUUGCCGGGAUGACCAAAUUUUUAACAAUUUCAAUAAAGUGAUAUGUGUCUUUCACAUAAGACGGAUGAAGAACCGACAACGGAUUCAAGAAAAAAUCAAUGUACUCAGCUGUUGCAUAAGUGUCACUCCCACAAUCCGACACUAUAGGCCUCCCUGGAGGCACUUCAAAUGGCACUGUCCACGUUUCCGGGGGUUUGUGAAUCUUGGGUAAGAUAUAAAACCGUCUGGCCCUAGGUUCAGUCUGGCCUUUUAAGUAUUUUGCCUGUUUAUGAUUGAUG
ensembl:lncRNA